rnacentral:lncRNA from 1 species
AAAGAGUUGUUGAAUAGGGCAGCAGAAAACUACACGAUGAAUUUAGGAACCAGGCUCCAAGCCUGUGCUUCCCAUUACUUGCUCUGUGACCAUUGGCAGUUACCAGGCCUGUGUGAGCCUCGUUUUUCUCAUAUAAAGAUAAAAAGUGCGUCUCAAUAUGUUGAGAGAUGAGUGAGGUCACAUAUGGGAAGCCCCUCACACAAAGAGGGCACUCAACAAAGGAGAGUUUGGUGGCAUUAGAAAGCGAAAAGAGACGACUCUUGCUCUUUAAGAAGCUCUGUAAAGCUUUCCGAGAAUCAGGACUAUUGCUGCUGUGCAUUAGCAGCACGGGAGAAAAUGGAGGAAGAAAGAAAAAAAUAGUUUGUUUCUUUGACCAGGGGCAGGAUGAAGAGUAAUUUUCCGAGAGGAGAAAAAGUCUAGUUAAAUACAAUUUCAAUCACAAUUUAAAUUUUGUCUUACAGAGCCUAUUUUUUUAUUCUUCAAGAAGAUGCCAUGUGUUCUGAUUUAGAGUUAGAAACGGAAAAUAGGGGGCACAUGGACCACUGAUGAGGGACAAGGAACAGGGGAGGCCACCAUCAGAAUUCUGUCACGUUUCAGUAAGGAGCCAAGUUACUGAGAAGAAUGUUACUGAAGCUUUAAAUGUCGGAGAUGAAUGGUACAGACACCCAUAAAACAGAUCUGUAUUUUGAGACCCAUAAUACCCUUCGUUAAAGAACUUUAGAAACUUCUGCAAUGAUCAGAUAUGUGACUGUGCUUGGAAAGAAAGGAAGGUGGCAGGUGCCAGGGAUAGAAUGGUAACUUCUCUGUCAUCUCCUUGCUCAGGCUUCAUGGGAGAAGGAG